rnacentral:rRNA from 1 species
AUGCUGGAGGUAUCAGAAGUGCGAAUGCUGACAUAAGUAACGAUAAAGCGGGUGAAAAGCCCGCUCGCCGGAAGACCAAGGGUUCCUGUCCAACGUUAAUCGGGGCAGGGUGAGUCGACCCCUAAGGCGAGGCCGAAAGGCGUAGUCGAUGGGAAACAGGUUAAUAUUCCUGUACUUGGUGUUACUGCGAAGGGGGGACGGAGAAGGCUAUGUUGGCCGGGCGACGGUUGUCCCGGUUUAAGCGUGUAGGCUGGUUUUCCAGGCAAAUCCGGAAAAUCAAGGCUGAGGCGUGAUGACGAGGCACUACGGUGCUGAAGCAACAAAUGCCCUGCUUCCAGGAAAAGCCUCUAAGCAUCAGGUAACAUCAAAUCGUACCCCAAACCGACACAGGUGGUCAGGUAGAGAAUACCAAGGCGCUUGAGAGAACUCGGGUGAAGGAACUAGGCAAAAUGGUGCCGUAACUUCGGGAGAAGGCACGCUGAUAUGUAGGUGAAGUCCCUUGCGGAUGGAGCUGAAAUCAGUCGAAGAUACCAGCUGGCUGCAACUGUUUAUUAAAAACACAGCACUGUGCAAACACGAAAGUGGACGUAUACGGUGUGACGCCUGCCCGGUGCCGGAAGGUUAAUUGAUGGGGUCAGCGCAAGCGAAGCUCUUGAUCGAAGCCCCGGUAAACGGCGGCCGUAACUAUAACGGUCCUAAGGUAGCGAAAUUCCUUGUCGGGUAAGUUCCGACCUGCACGAAUGGCGUAAUGAUGGCCAGGCUGUCUCCACCCGAGACUCAGUGAAAUUGAACUCGCUGUGAAGAUGCAGUGUACCCGCGGCAAGACGGAAAGACCCCGUGAACCUUUACUAUAGCUUGACACUGAACAUUGAGCCUUGAUGUGUAGGAUAGGUGGGAGGCUUUGAAGUGUGGACGCCAGUCUGCAUGGAGCCGACCUUGAAAUACCACCCUUUAAUGUUUGAUGUUCUAACGUUGACCCGUAAUCCGGGUUGCGGACAGUGUCUGGUGGGUAGUUUGACUGGGGCGGUCUCCUCCUAAAGAGUAACGGAGGAGCACGAAGGUUGGCUAAUCCUGGUCGGACAUCAGGAGGUUAGUGCAAUGGCAUAAGCCAGCUUGACUGCGAGCGUGACGGCGCGAGCAGGUGCGAAAGCAGGUCAUAGUGAUCCGGUGGUUCUGAAUGGAAGGGCCAUCGCUCAACGGAUAAAAGGUACUCCGGGGAUAACAGGCUGAUACCGCCCAAGAGUUCAUAUCGACGGCGGUGUUUGGCACCUCGAUGUCGGCUCAUCACAUCCUGGGGCUGAAGUAGGUCCCAAGGGUAUGGCUGUUCGCCAUUUAAAGUGGUACGCGAGCUGGGUUUAGAACGUCGUGAGACAGUUCGGUCCCUAUCUGCCGUGGGCGCUGGAGAACUGAGGGGGGCUGCUCCUAGUACGAGAGGACCGGAGUGGACGCAUCACUGGUGUUCGGGUUGUCAUGCCAAUGGCACUGCCCGGUAGCUAAAUGCGGAAGAGAUAAGUGCUGAAAGCAUCUAAGCACGAAACUUGCCCCGAGAUGAGUUCUCCCUGACCCUUUAAGGGUCCUGAAGGAACGUUGAAGACGACGACGUUGAUAGGCCGGGUGUGUAAGCGCAGCGAUGCGUUGAGCUAACCGGUACUAAUGAACCGUGAGGCUUAACCUUACAACGCCGAAG